rnacentral:rRNA from 1 species
GAAACUGACGCUCAGUCUCGAAAGCGUGGGGAGCAAAUAGGAUUAGAUACCCUAGUAGUCCACGCCGUAAACGAUGACGACUAACUGUCCCUCCGUGGGGCGGUGAAGCCAACGCAUUAAGUCGUCCGCCUGGGAACUACGGCCGCAAGGCUGAAACUUAAAGGAAUUGACGGGACCCCGCACAAGUAGUGGAGCAUGUGGUUUAAUUCGACGCUACGCGGAAAACCUUACCAGGGCUUGACAUCCCGGCGCUAGUCGCGGAGACGCGAUGAGAUUGCCGGAGACAGGUGGUGCAUGGUUGUCGUCAGCUCGUGUCGUGAGAUGUUGGGUUAAGUCCCGCAACGAGCGCAACCCUCGUCGGCAGUUGCCAGCAUUAAGUUGGGGACUCUGCCGAGACCGCCGGUGCAAACCGGAGGAAGGUGGGGAUGACGUCAAAUCAGCAUGCCCUUUAUGCCCUGGGCGACACACGUGCUACAAUGGCCGGUACAGAGGGAAGCGAUCCCGCGAGGGGGAGCAAAUCCCAGAAAGCCGGCCCCAGUUCGGACCGGAGGCUGCAAUUCGCCUCCGCGAAGUCGGAAUUGCUAGUAAUCGCGAAUCAGCAUGUCGCGGUGAAUACGUUCCCGGGGUUUGUACACACCGCCCGUCAAACCAUGAGAGGUGGCAAUGCUUGAAGCCGCCGUCCCAACCGCAAGGGGGGAGGCGUCUAGGGCAGGGCCGCUGAUUGGGGUUAAGUCGUAACAAGGUAUCCCUACGGGAACGUGGGGAUG